CGGCGUGGAUUAGGCAUGCAAGUCGCGCGAUAAAUUGCCUUCGGGUGAUGGAAAGCGGCGAAAGGGAGAGUAACACGCGGGUACCUACCCUCAGGACCGGGAUAGCUGCGGGAAACUGCAAUUAAUACCGGAUGAUGUCUCCGGACCAAAGGUGUGAUUCCGCCGGAGGAGGGGCCCACGUCCUAUCAGCUAGUUGGCGAGGUAAUGGCUCACCAAGGCUACGACGGGUACGGGGUGUGAGAGCAUGCCCCCGCUCACUGGGACUGAGACACUGCCCAGACACCUACGGGUGGCUGCAGUCGAGAAUCUUCCGCAAUGGGCGAAAGCCUGACGGAGCGACGCCGCGUGCGGGAUGAAGGCCUUCGGGUUGUAAACCGCUGUCAGUGGGGAGGAAAUGCACGGGGGUUCUCCCUCGUGCUUGACCGAUCCGCAGAGGAAGCACAGGCUAAGUUCGUGCCAGCAGCCGCGGUAACACGAACUGUGCAAACGUUAUUCGGAAUCACUGGGCUUAAAGAGUUCGUAGGCGGCACGUUAAGUCGGGUGUGAAAUCCCUCGGCUCAACCGAGGAAUUGCGUCCGAAACUAGCGUGCUUGASUGAGAUAGAGGUGAGCGGAACUGAUGGUGGAGCGGUGAAAUGCGUUGAUAUCAUCAGGAACACCGGUGGCGAAGGCGGCUCACUGGGUCUCAACUGACGCUGAGGAACGAAAGCUAGGGGAGCGAACGGGAUUAGAUACCCCGGUAGUCCUAGCCGUAAACGAUGAGCACUAGGUUGAGGGGACCUCCACAUCCCCCCGGCCGUAGCGA
rnacentral:rRNA from 1 species